rnacentral:rRNA from 1 species
AGAGUUUGAUCAUGGCUCAGAACGAACGCUGGCGGCGUGGAUAAGACAUGCAAGUCGAGCGCUGGUCAGGUGGUAGCAAUAUCGCUUGAUCGGAGCGGCGCAAGGGUGCGUAACACGUGGGUAAUUUGCCAUGAAGUUGGGGAUAACUCGCUGAAAGGCGAGCUAAUACCGAAUGUGACCCGAGGGAGGCAUCUCUCUUUGGUUAAAGCUGGGGACCGCAAGGCCUGACGCUUCAUGAUAAACCCGCGGCCUAUCAGCUAGUUGGUGAGGUAACGGCCCACCAAGGCUAAGACGGGUAGCUGGUCUGAGAGGACGACCAGCCACACUGGAACUGAGACACGGUCCAGACACCUACGGGUGGCAGCAGUCGAGAAUUUUUCACAAUGGGGGAAACCCUGAUGGAGCGACGCCGCGUGGGGGAUGAAUGGCUUCGGCCCGUAAACCCCUGUCAUUUGCGAACAAAUUUUUUCACCUAACACGUGAAGAAUUGAUUGUAGCGGAAGAGGAAGGGACGGCUAACUCUGUGCCAGCAGCCGCGGUAAUACAGAGGUCCCAAGCGUUGUUCGGAUUCACUGGGCGUAAAGGGUGCGCAGGUGGCCGGGUAAGUCUGAUGUGAAAUCUCGAAGCUCAACUUCGAAACUGCAUUGGAUACUAUCCGGCUGGAGGGUCGGAGGGGGGACUGGAAUUCUCGGUGUAGCAGUGAAAUGCGUAGAUAUCGAGAGGAACACCAGUGGCGAAGGCGAGUCCCUGGACGACUCCUGACACUGAGGCACGAAAGCUAGGGGAGCAAACAGGAUUAGAUACCCUGGUAGUCCUAGCCGUAAACGGUGCAUAUUUGCUGUAAAAGGAAUCGACCCCUUUUGUGGCGCAGCUAACGCGUUAAAUAUGCCGCCUGGAAGUACGGUCGCAAGAUUAAAACUCAAAGAAAUUGACGGGGCCUGCACAAGCGGUGGAGUAUGUGGCUUAAUUCGAUG